rnacentral:rRNA from 1 species
UACGUAGGUGGCAAGCGUUGUCCGGAUUUAUUGGGUUUAAAGGGUGCGUAGGCGGUCAUGUAAGUCAGCGGUGAAAUCCGGCAGCUCAACUGUCGAUGUGCCAUUGAUACUGCAUGACUUUGAGUACUGAUGAGGUAGGCGGAAUUGACGGUGUAGCGGUGAAAUGCUUAGAUAUCGUCAAGAACACCGAUAGCGAAGGCAGCUUAUAAGCAGUAACUGACGCUGGAGGCACGAAAAGUGUGGGGGAUCAAAACAGGA